rnacentral:rRNA from 1 species
ACGAACGCUGGCGGCGUGCUUAACCCCUGCAAGUCGAACGGUGAAGCGCCUUCCUUUUUGGUGGGUGUGGAUGAGUGGCGAACGGGUGAGUAACACGUGAGUAACCUGCCCCCUUCUUCUGGAUAACCGCAUGAAAGUGUGGCUAAUACGGGAUAUUCUGGGUCUGUCGCAUGAUGGGUCUGGGAAAGAUAUUGUUUCGGUGGGGGAUGGGCUCGCGGCCUAUCAGCUUGUUGGUGGGGUGAUGGCCUACCAAGGCGGUGACGGGUAGCCGGCCUGAGAGGGUGGACGGUCACACUGGGACUGAGGCACGGCCCAGACUCCUACGGGAGGCAGCAGUGGGGAAUAUUGCACAAUGGGCGAAAGCCUGAUGCAGCGACGACGCGUGAGGGAUGGAGGCCUUCGGGUUGUGAACCUCUUUCGCCAGUGAAGCAGGCCUGCCUCGUUUGUGGGUGGGUUGACGGUAGCUGGAUAAGAAGCGCCGGCUAACUACGUG